rfam:Oryza barthii chromosome 7, whole genome shotgun sequence.
AAUAAGUAUAAUUUUACACUAUUCACGUUCAACGUUUCACCGUUCGUCUUAUUUGAAAAUUUGUUAUAAUUAGUAUUUUUAUUGCUAUUAGAUGAUAAAACAUGAACAUUACUUUAUGUGUGACUAAAUAUUUUUAAAUUUUUCACAAUUUUUUUUUAAAUAAGACGGAUAGUCAAACGUUGAGCACGGAUAUUCACGGCUGCACUUAUU